rnacentral:rRNA from 1 species
GACGAACGCUGGCGGCGUGCUUAACACAUGCAAGUCGAACGGAAAGGCCCUGCUUUUGUGUGUUGCUCGAUUGGCGAACGGGUGAGUAACACGUGAGUAACCUGCCCUUGACUUUGGGAUAACUUCAGGAAACUGGGGCUAAUACCGGAUAGGAGCUCCUGCUGCAUGGUGGUGGUUGGAAAAUUUCGGCGGUUGGGGAUGGACUCGCGGCUUAUCAGCUUGUUGGUGGGGUAGUGGUUUACCAAGGCUUUGACGGGUAGCCGGCCUGAGAGGGUGACCGGCGACAUGGGGACUGCGAGAGGGAGCAGAAUGGUACGGGAGGCAGCAGGGGGGAAUAUUGCAGAAUGGGCGGAAGCCUGAUGCAGCAACGCUGCGUGCGGGAUGACGGGCUUUGGGUUGUAAACAGAUUUCGAAGGUGACGAAGAGUGCGUGACGGUAAUGGGUAAAGAAGCAACGGCUAACUACGUG